GCAAGUCGAACGGUAGCACAGAGAGCUUGGUCCUGUGUGAGAAGUGUGGGAGAGGUGAGUAAAGUGUGGGGAUCUGCGCGAUAUAGGGGGAGAUCCCCUGUGAACGGUGGGUAAUACCGCAUAACGUCUCACGACCAAAAAGGGGGACCUUCUGGCCUCUCACUAUCGGAUGAGCCCCCAUGGGAUUAUCUAUUAUGCGGGGUAAUGGGCCCCCUAUGCGACAAUACCCAUCUGGGCUGAGAGGAGGACCCCCCCCACUGGGACUGAGACACGGUCCCGACACCCACAGGAGGCGCCACUGGGGAAAAUUGUGCAAUGGGCGCACGCCUGAGGCGCCCCUGCGCCGUGUGUAAAAAAAGCGUUCUGGUUGUAAAGUACUUUUUCCGGGGAGAAAAGGGAGAGGGUUAAUAACCCUGUCUAUUGAGGUUACCCGCACAAAAAACACCGGCUAACUCCGUGCCACCAGCCGCGGUAAUACGGAGGGUGCAAGCGUUAAUCGGAAUUACUGGGCGUAAAGCGCACGCAGGCGGUCUGUUAAGUCAGAUGUGAAAUCCCCGGGCUUAACCUGGGAACUGCAUUUGAAACUGGCAGGCUUGAGUCUUGUAGAGGGGGGUAGAAUUCCAGGUGUAGCGGUGAAAUGCG
rnacentral:rRNA from 1 species